rnacentral:rRNA from 1 species
CCUACGGGAGGCAGCAGUGGGGGAUAUUGCACAAUGGAGGAAACUCUGAUGCAGCGACGCCGCGUGAGGGAAGACGGUCUUCGGAUUGUAAACCUCUGUCUUUGGGGAAGAAAAUGACGGUACCCAAAGAGGAAGCUCCGGCUAACUACGUGCCACCAGCCGCGGUAAUACGUAGGGAGCAAGCGUUGUCCGGAUUUACUGGGUGUAAAGGGUGCGUAGGCGGGAACACAUGUCAGGCGUGAAAUACCGGGGCUCAACUCCGGGGCUGCGCUUGAAACUGUGUUUCUUGAGUGAAGUAGAGGCAGGCGGAAUUCCUAGUGUAGCGGUGGAAUGCGUAGAUAUUAGGAGGAACACCAGUGGCGAAGGCGGCCUGCUGGGCUUUAACUGACGCUGAUGCACGAAAGCAUGGGGAGCAAACAGGAUUAGAUACCCGAGUAGUC